GCCGCCGUAGCUCAGCCUGGUUAGAGCGCCGGACUCAUACGGGUUCACGGGUCCGUACCGAGGUCUGCCCAGGGGAGAUCCGGUUGUCCCGGGUUCAAGUCCCGGCGGCGGCA
rfam:Desulfurococcus kamchatkensis 1221n, complete genome.